UUAUUUUUCGUUUGUAAUUAGAUAAUUAUUUCACUCAAGACUUUUUUUUCUAUCAUUGUGGCUUUUUUCCCCCCAUUGAUGAUCUUAUGUUGAACUUCAAAACCUUCAAACGGUGGUCUCUGAAAUGAUAGUUCUUGACAUGCCCAGUAGUAAUUAUUGAAAUUAUGACCUUGUGGCCAUUUACAGGUACUGGAUGAUACGUUCGCAUCACAGAUGCAGCAGCUACUUGGGAAUGCGCUGCUACAAGAGAAAGAUCUUGAGCCA
rnacentral:misc_RNA from 1 species